rnacentral:rRNA from 1 species
GACGUAGGUGGCGAGCGUUGUCCGGAAUUACUGGGCGUAAAGGGCGUGUAGGCGGCCUGCUAAGUCAGACGUGAAACCCCAAGGCUUAACCUUGGGACUGCGUUUGAUACUGGUUGGCUUGAGGACAGGAGAGGAAAGUGGAACUCCGUGUGUAGCGGUGAAAUGCGUAGAUAUACGGAAGAACACCAGUGGCGAAGGCGGCUUUCUGGACUGUCCCUGACGCUGAGGCGCGAAAGCCAGGGGAGCGAACGGG